GACUGCAACAAGAAUAGCUUAGCAAGGAAAACUACUUGACAGGCUAGCACAACCUGAGGUCCUCUUGUCUGAAAGAGCAGCAGGAUACAGUGCAGGAGAGAGAGAAGUACAAAGCUGGAAUUCCAAACAAAGGCAAAGUGAAUCUGAAAAAUGACAGACGCUUGUAAAGAAGAGACAACAGUUACACCUAGCUUCUCUUCAGUUCAAGGCAACUCCUGACAGCGAAACAAAAUAAUUCCUGAAGAAAUAUUGUCAACAAGCUCCAGUACCGCACGAUCAAGUCAGAGUAACCCCAAACGCGGGUAGGGCAGCAGGAAAACCUUGACCACGCUACACACAAGUCGUCUCCGGCCUUGCCGCAGAAAACUCGAAUAGCAAGUUACCGUGAAAAAGGAGAAAGACCAGCCACAGAGGCGCUCUGACAGCAGAUGCGUGCUGUAAUCCCAGGAAGGAAAGGGAACCGAUUGUCUGCACCCAAGGAGUGAGCGAUGGGCUGCCGUACUGUGCCCGCUGUCCUGGAGCAGAGCGUGCCUGUAACAGGGCAUUGCAGCUGCGUCAGCAAGCCAGACCCUCUGCACGCUGCCUCCCACCACAGUCCUCUGAGCAUCCUCCACCUCGCACCUCUCUGUCACCAUCCCCUCCUCAGGUGACUCGGAAGCCUGGCUCAACCCCAGCUGUGGAGCUGGCCUCGCCACUUACAGCUCAGCACAAGGUGCUUCCUGCUCUGCAUCAGAGGAUACGGAAGGCCCUUAGGUGACAGCACGUAACCUGUCCUGGGCAUGUGACUCCACCGCCAGCAUCGUGCCCUGGCUGCUGUGACUGAGGAGAGAGAAAGCAGUUUGUAUGUUGUUAGUUCUGGGUGCCCAAGCUCAAAGGCUGUCCCUCCUGCUACUUGCUGACUACAACACGUACACUUUGACUCACUCCAUUACACAGUUUUGCUCAGCCCCUAACCUCUCUGUGAGCUCUGCAUUAGCCUGCGCAUUACCUUCCACUUAAUGCAGUUACUGGCUAAUCUGCUAUUCCAUUUUUUUUUGAUCUGAGCCUCAACGACCAAAUCAUACGUACAACAAAUUGUACAAGCUCCAUCUUCAAGUUCAACUGCUUCAAGCAGGUACUGAGGAACAAUUAGAUCGCUGUCUGCAGGAGCUGCCACUUAGCUAAGAAAGACAAGACAACUCUAAAUAAGACAGAUGCAGAGAAAGUCCAAAGAUUGUUCAUGCUGAUAAUGAAAAUUAAUCAAACAUCAUUAGCAGUCUCCAGAGAGCACAGUACAUCAUGUGCUUCUUGUCUUCCUCUGCCUGAUGAGAGCACCCACUUCCGCUAAAUCAAGAGCAGUAGGGAGCUUCGUGGCAUCAAGACAAAGAUCAAAAUUUGGAGCCUUUUCUGGACGGAGUGGCGGAACUUUUUUUGGAAGUGAUUUGGGACAGUCUACAGUUUAGCAGUGCUGAACAGCACCCAUGGUCUCCGGGGAAGUCAAUAAACACACACAGGAGAUUCUGCUAAAUGCGCAGGCUUGUUUGUCUCCCUGUAAAGUGGAAAUUACAGCGAGGUAGUUCAUUCUGAGCAAGACUCCUUGGGAGGUUUCUUAUAUCCGCACCCAAAUGCAGCUGGGAUGCACUUUCUGGAAGGCACCAUUCUGCACACAGGAGAGGGUAUGGUUAAGUAUCGACACCACUCUCAGCUGGAUUGUUUUUGCAUGCAGAUAUUUCUUCUCAAGCCUCUUUGUUUCCUUAUUUUUGCCCUCAUGUUUGCCUUCUUCGCUAGCCAUGUUGCCCUAAUUUUAUCUCAUCAGCCUCAAAAGCUGGAGCCUGAGUCAGUUGUGUUUAUAUCAUGCUUAAUGUACAGGAGCCCUGGCAGGAGCUUUUAGGCUCUACAAUUAACGAUUUAUUUGUU